rnacentral:rRNA from 1 species
UACGGGGGGAGCAAGCGUUGUUCGGAUUUACUGGGCGUAAAGGGCGCGUAGGCGGUCGUGACAAGUCACUUGUGAAAUCUCCGGGCUUAACUCGGAACGGUCAAGUGAUACUGUCGGACUAGAGUACAGAAGGGGGCAACUGGAAUUCUCGGUGUAGCGGUGAAAUGCGUAGAUAUCGAGAGGAACACCUGCAGCGAAGGCAGCUCGCUGGGACGUUACUGACACUGAGGCGCGAAAGCGUGGGGAGCGAACAGG